AUGAAAGUGUUUGUUGAUGCAGCUGUCAACUCUCCUGAGUUAGUAUCUAACUACCAUGGGAUGAUAGCAGGCUCUGGGCUGGGAGUCCUCAUCUCUCAGUUCCCAAGAACAGCAACCCAGAGACAUGGAGAAAGGAUGGAAAUAACCUGUGUCCAGAAUGACACUAGCUACACCUAUAUGUACUGGUACAAACAACUCAAGACAGAAGGUCCAAGGUUAAUAGCCUUAAGUGUAUAUGGAUCGAAUGCUACUUAUGAGAAGGACUACAAUGCUUCCAAGUUUCCAGUCACUAGACCCAAUACCGGAACCUCUUCCAUGAACAUCGUAGCUCUGGAAACCCAGGAUUCAGCCAGCUACUUCUGUGCAGCCAAACUCCGCCUACUAAAGGAACAUAGAACUUUGCUCAAUGAAAAUGAUCACUCUGGCUUGUCU